rnacentral:tRNA from 1 species
GGCUAGGUAGUUUAACGGCAGAACGCGGAAAACGUCUUGACUAUCUUUUGUCCCUCGGGAAUGCCUUGUUAGGACUACAUCCAUUACAAGGACGAGAUGUGGGUUCGAAUCCCACCCUAGCCA